GCCUGGGUGGCACAGCGGUUGAGCGUCUGCCUUCAGCUCAGGGCGUGAUCCCCGCGUUGUGGGAUCGAGCCCCACAUCAGGCU
rfam:Ailuropoda melanoleuca scaffold2332_19, whole genome shotgun sequence.